AGAGGUAAGUGUAGAUCCUUGCUUCCCUACUGUUUUUAAUGAAGUUUUAGUAAGUUUAAUGAUGUUUUGAUGGUUGAGUAUGGGUAGAUAUGCAUGUAGGGUUUAUGUGGGUUUUAUGCCCAAUGCAUGUUUAUGUGAUGUUAUGUUGAAAGUUUAAGUUAGUUUAUACAUGUGGGAGAGUGUACGCAUGAUUGGGAAAGAGCAAGUGAGAUUAUGGGGUGUUUUGAUGAUUUUGGCCUAUGUGGGUCAUAAGCUAUCUAUGCAUGCUUUGGAUGUUGUUUUUGGAGUUUAAAUCUAGUUGUUAAGCUCCUUUAUGCAUGACUAAGGGUUUAUGCAUGGUUUUGAGAAGUUUAUGCAUGUUUUAAAAGGUUGGAUGCUUGUUUUGGGGGUUUCGGAGGCUUGUAUGCACAAGGGCUGAGUUCUGAAAGAACUCAGGUUCGGCCGCCGAAGGUGGUUUCGGCCGCCGAACAUGGCUAUGGAUGCAUGAAUUGGCCGCCAAACCUUGCCCCCGAAAGUUGUGUUUCAGAGCUGAAGCAGACUUUCGGCCGCCGAAGGUGAUGUUCGGCCACCGAAAGUACAUGACUUUCGUCUCUGGAGAAAGGGUUCGGCCGCCGAAGGCGCCCCCGAACCUGCAUGACUUUCGUCUCUGGAAGGGACCUUCAGCCGCCGAAAGUGCCCUAUCCAGCCUUUUCAUGAGUGUUCUGUAUGCAUGUUUCCUUGAUGCUUUAAGGGGUUUUUGGGGAGUUGUUUAUGAGUUGUUUAGGGUGUGUUUGGCACAUCACUAGAGUCCACCUGUGUAGGAUCGGACCCGAGGAACCGAGGUGUUUAGCAGUGUCAGCCGUUUCAGAGUCGGCCCAGAGCUAGUCAGAGGUGAGUGGAACUAAACCUAAUGCUUUAAAUUAAGAAAUUAAAUGUUUUUAGAGCAUGAUCCAUGCAUCAUGAAAUGCCAUGAUAUGUAUUAG
rnacentral:lncRNA from 1 species